CCUACGGGGGGCAGCAGUAGGGAAUAUUGCUCAAUGGGGGAAACCCUGAAGCAGCAACGCCGCGUGGAGGAUGAAGGUUUUGGGAUUGUAAACUCCUUUUGUUAGGGAAGCUAAUGACGGUAUGUAACGAAUAAGCACCGGCUAACUCCGUGCCAGCAGCCGCGGUAAUACGGUGGGGGCAAGCGUUACUCGGAAUCACUGGGCGUAAAGAGCGCGUAGGCGGGAUAGCAAGUCAGAUGGGAAAUCCUAUGGCUUAACCAUAGAACUGCAUUUGAAACUGUUAUUCUCGAGUAUGGGAGAGGUAGGUGGAAUGCUGGGUGUAGGGGUAAAAUCCGUAGAGAUCGAGAGGAAUACUCAUUGCGAAGGCGACCUGCUAGAACCUAACUGACGCUGAUGCGCGAAAGCGUGGGUAGCAAACAGGAUUAGAUACCCGUGUAGUC
rnacentral:rRNA from 1 species